rnacentral:lncRNA from 1 species
GUGAUGCUAGCUUCCUUGGAUUCUUCCGGUUCAAGUUCCCCACCGAAUCAUCCACCACAUGGUGCGGUUUCUUUCGUGCCUUUUAAAAUCAUGCACAAAUUUCUGCCCCUCCCUCUAUUCUAUUAGAUACAGUGAUUGGUGCUAGCUAGAAACCGGUGUUUUAGAAUAUUCUUUGUAUUAUUUGAUGGAAGAUGGGUUGUCUGACAGAGCUAAUGUAAGUUGUUGGACUACGAAUGGAUAACAAACCAACAUGGACUAUGUAUUCUGGUUUGUUCACUCAUUUCAGUCCAUACAUAGCCCAUACUGAAAUAUCUAUUUGCGAACGGAGGAAAUACAUAUAUAUCUUUGCCCAUCUUAGAACUGGUUUGUGUAAGCAAUACAAUUUUAUACCACUGCCAUUGCGAUUUGAUUAAAACAUGCACUGCUUCCUCUCUGAAUUACUCCUACAACUACAAGCAUGUGGGUGUGCCUUUGCAUUUUGUUAACUUCAUUUUCCUUUUGAAGGAGAUGACUGCUAUCACGGUCAGACCAAGGGCUAUGUUCAGUGCGAUUCUUAGCAAGAUUUGUUUGUCUGAUGCAAAGUACGCGCGUUGUAGGAACUACAACCGACGUGUGGGUGCAACUGUGGUUUUCUGGCCGUCCAUGUUGCACUUUUCCGCAAUGGCAGAACCCAGGAAGAUCCAAGACAAUCCAACUAGGGAUAUUUCAACAGGUAAAUGAGUGAAACAAUUAUCGUUAUCCAGAUAGUUAUUUUGUGUUGUUUCAUCUUAUAAUGAAAUUUCAUUGUCUAAGGCAAAUUGAUUUCCCUUCCAGUUAUGUAUGUGCUCAGUCUAAUUAAGCGUUUUAAGUAGCUUUCUCUUUCAAUCAGUUACUAUUUGUACAUUUCUAUAAUAUUUUGUGGUAUAUGUCAUCUGUGAUUUAUCUUUGUUCUUAUAUGACUGACUUGCAAAAGAAAUCAUAGGUAAACAAAAAAACAAGAUAUCAAAGAUAAGCUAAAGUGAAAGUGGGUAUUUUUGUUCGAUAUUCUUGAACCAAUUUACUAGUCAUUUUUUCAUUGUGGUUCUGUUUUGUAGUUUGAAAUAAGGAAUUGGAACUGCAGCAUCCUGAAAUACUUGACAAACUACAGGAAGAAGC